rnacentral:lncRNA from 1 species
GUGCGUCCGGCACCCCCAUGGAAGCAAAGAUGGGUCGGGGUGCAUUCAUGACCACCACUGGAGCGGGUUGUGGUGCGUCCGGGACCACCACCGGAACAGGAUCGGAUUGGGGUGCAGCCGGCACUUCGGUCUUCAGCCCUGAUUCAUUUGGUAAGUAUUGUUCACGUUUUUCUUUUUAAAUGAAAUGCUUUAAAUAUGCUCUUAUUUACUACUUUAAAUGUGGUUUACUGUUGUUUAAACAUACGUGUUACGAUCAUUGUAGAGCUUAAUGUGACAAAUGUUCAUUGGUUAGUCGUAGCAUAUGGCGAGCUGUUCAAACCAAAAUGUAUUUCUGCCCGUAAGUUACGACAGUGAAGACUUUUUUUCAGAGGUAGAAAUGAUCUGUUAUGCUGCAAUCACACUAAACGUGAUCCGUGAGUGAAAUUCGCAUCAGAGCCCUCUGUUUGUGGCUAAAGUUUGCUGCUGGACACAUGUCCAAAACUGUCACAGACUCAAAGCCUCUAACGGUUGUGUGGGAGGAGUUAACGCCAAAGGUUUUAAGCCUGGUUGCUACAUGGAAGCAUUGGGUUGUGAAUGCAGCUUCAAGCUUUUUCAAAUCACUGAUCUCCAUUUUAAAAUGUUUUUUUGUAAAAAUCAAUCAAUCAAUGUGCUCUUGUUGUGUUCAGUGUUUCACUGCCAGGUAGACGCCAAGGCCAGCCAGAUACUGAACUUCAAAGAGUUCACCAGAAAGUCACCAUUUCACCAGAAAAGAGCUGUCAGUGGGAUCAGCGUGAUGUGAACAUGAGAUGGGCACUUGUCCUCCUUGCACUUCCUGUUUAUCUGCAUGAAAAUGCCUCCAACUUCUUCCAGACCUGUUCUGAACGUGUCCAUGACUCCCUGUCAAUGCUUUUGUCAAAUCAUUAAACUGAAACUCAUCAUCAUUCAAAUAACAAAAGGAGAACAACAAGGAGGACUGGUUUAUAUAAUUCUGCAAACUGACAGGUAGAAAAAACUUAGCCAAAAUGGAAUGGAAAGUUUGACGCAUUAACUAUUACUGUCCCACCCUGUCUAUAUUUUUACUAUUAUAAUCGUUCCUAAUGGUCUUUUAAUUAUGAUUAUGCCGUUUUAAGCCAAAAUCAACAAGCAUAUGUCGUCCUUUAAAGAUAUUUUUUUCAGCAUUACUGCAAUUUCAGGACUAAUGAGCACACCUGAAAUUAAGCUGCACCCGGCAAAUUUAAAAAGAAAAAGAUAAUUGCACAUAUAGAGGCCACAUGUUUUAUAAGCCACAAAUGUCUACAUUGUAAUAUAGGAUAUUUACACUAUGAACAGUGGCUUUUUAAAUUGACGUCCAGCUGCGCUGCUAUGACUGAGAUCAGCGUAAUAAAAAGUCAAAAUAAACAUUGACGUGUUUUGAUAUUCUAAUGAUUAAAAUUUUAAUGAGUGACAUAAUAAAUACGUCAAUUGUUUGUAGUUUGUAAACUGAGUGAUUUUUAAAUAGUUUUAAAAAUGAGGCAGAAGAUGAAAGGCGAUCAUCAGGGAGAAGGAGCGGGAACUUUUUCUUUUACGCCAAACAGCAGCAAAGACAUGAAAACUCCACAGCGUUUUAGCUGAAGGUGUGGGGAUGGAGCUAUCUGCCAGGACUUUAAUUGUAGGAAAAGGCUGAUCCGACCAUUAUUUUGGAUCGGGAGCAACUGGAUUUUUCAAAAUCAACAAACACCAGCAUUGUCUAAAAACUGCAGGAACAUUGCGAACUGCUGAGCACUGCAAAAGUCCUGCCCGCUCGCCGCUGUUACGGGAGGUGGAGUCCACUCCGGUGACGAGUGAGACUUUCACGGUGCUCCACAGUUCCUGCAAUUUUUAGACAAUGUUGCUCCUCACUGUUCUUAAACAUCCUCCGCCUCCAAAGUAAAAUAAUGAUGGGUUUCCUCCAUAUUGGAUUUCUCCCUCCACCUGCCACAGUGGGUCCUCUCUAUGGAAGCGAUUAUGUAGCAUAAAUAAAAAGCAAAGUCAAAACCAGAAAUGCUUUUUAAUUUUCAAAAUGAAGCUGCAUUUUUUGACUCAU